rnacentral:lncRNA from 1 species
AUUUAAACACUCGACUAUAUCAACAAACGGAACGACUGCGAAACCACUGUCCUAACCUAUGUUUUUAAAAGGUUAAUAUUGUGUAGAAGACAAUCCGUGCACAGAAAAAAUAUCACAAAAAUUUAACUCGUUUAAGUCAAUCAAUUGUUUUGGAUACAGAUUAAUUUGAAAGAGGUGGGAAAAGUAUGAUAGUACGGGAAAUCCUAUACAUGUUUCCAAGCAACUGCUCUGUAUUAGUUAUGUUUUUUUUGUAUUUUCAGACCAUUUUGACCUCCAUUAUGAAAAAGUACCCACUAUUCAAGAUGGCCGAACUAACCAUGGGGUGACCUAUUCUUUUUUUGUUAAAUUUGUAUGCAAUGAUACAUCAGUUGUUCACUAACCGUGAAGGGGCCUAUUGUAUUGCGUCACACAAAAUGGCGGGGACUAAAAUCAGAAGUAGUCACAUUGGUGAAAUAAAAACAAAUGUAAUUUAGUUAACACAUUAGCUUAGCUUGUCAUCAUUUUCCAGUUGAGAUUGUUACUUGUUAAGUGAAAUGUUUUUGUACAUUGACAAUUAUGUAAGUUUCUUUAAAUUUUUAAUCAUUUUUUGUAAAAAAAAU